rnacentral:lncRNA from 1 species
CAUGAACCAGCCCUGUGAGGCAGGAUGACUCAGGAAGACAGGAGCCCCGAGUGGAGAGUGAGAAACAGAGGACAAGUACAGCUACCAUGACACUAAUGAGUUGUAAAAAGGACACAAACGAGAAAUACUCAUUUGGACUGAAGGAAGCUGUGCUUGAGCGAAACCUUGACGUGAGAUUAAACUUGGCCAGAUGAAGAUGAAAGAGAAGAGAGAAAGAGCAUCGGGGCAGCAAGGGACCAAAGGUGUGGGAAGACUGGACAGGACCUGGGAAUAGCACCGGGAAACAGGACAGGAAAUUGAAAGGAAAGACAAAGAGAAAGAAAAGACGAAGAGUUUCAAGGUUAGUGAGAGCUGAGCAACACCCUUUCUGUCCACUCUAGCCAGACCUCGUUUUAUUGCACUUCAUUAAAUUUCACAGAUACUUCAUGCUUUACAAAUUGAAGGUUUGUGGCAGCUCUGCAUGGAGCAAGUCUAUGGACCCCAUUCUUCCAACAGCACGUGCUCACUUCAUGUCUUUGUGUCACAUUUUGGUAUUAUUGUAAAUAUUACCAAAAAAAAAUCUAACCCUAUUUCAAACAUUUCCAUUACUAUUAUAACUGUUAUGGUGAUUUGUGAUCAGGGAUUUUUUUUUUUU